UACAGAGGUCUCAAGCGUUGUCCGGAAUUAUUGGGCGUAAAGAGCUUGUAGGCGGUCUGUCGCGUCUGCUGUGAAAAUCCGGGGCUCAACCCCGGACUUGCAGUGGGUACGGGCAGACUAGAGUGUGGUAGGGGAGACUGGAAUUCCUGGUGUAGCGGUGAAAUGCGCAGAUAUCAGGAGGAACACCGAUGGCGAAGGCAGGUCUCUGGGCCACUACUGACGCUGAGAAGCGAAAGCAUGGGGAGCGAACAGG
rnacentral:rRNA from 1 species